AGUGAACGCUGGCGGUAGGCCUAACACAUGCAAGUCGAACGGCAGCACAGUAAGAGCUUGCUCUUACGGGUGGCGAGUGGCGGACGGGUGAGGAAUACAUCGGAAUCUACUUUUUCGUGGGGGAUAACGUAGGGAAACUUACGCUAAUACCGCAUACGACCUACGGGUGAAAGCAGGGGAUCUUCGGACCUUGCGCGAUUGAAUGAGCCGAUGUCGGAUUAGCUAGUUGGCGGGGUAAAGGCCCACCAAGGCGACGAUGCGUAGCUGGUCUGAGAGGAUGAUCAGCCACACUGGAACUGAGACACGGUCCAGACUCCUACGGGAGGCAGCAGUGGGGAAUAUUGGACAAUGGGCGCAAGCCUGAUCCAGCCAUACUGCGUGGGUGAAGAAGGCCUUCGGGUUGUAAAGCCCUUUUGUUGGGAAAGAAAAGCAGCAGGUUAAUACCCCGCUGUUCUGACGGUACCCAAAGAAUAAGCACCGGCUAACUUCGUG
rnacentral:rRNA from 1 species